UCAGCUCUCCACCUUGGUACUCCAUCACUCUUUCUACUUCUGAACUACACGUGGACUGAUUCCUUUAUAGCCAAGGAUAUGUAGGCAAUUCAGAUACCAGAGCUCGGUCACAAUCUACUUUCUCUUUGUUUUGGUCUCCCUAAAUAAGUGUCGGGUCAAAAAACAUGUCUAGUUGUUCUUUGUCUGAAGAUACUUCGUAUUUCCAGUCAAAGAGGGGCAGCUGUAGACAUGUGAUUUUUUACUCUCCCCAAGAUUUUUUAUAUUUUAGCGUAAAAUAUUUUAUUUAGGUAUAAUAUUAUUAUUUUAACUAAUUUUGACUCUUUUACUACAAGAAAAUGAAAAUUACCAAAAAAUAGUUUCAUUAAUGUUUUGUAGUCAUCUUUAAUCUUGAAAAAUACCAAAAAUAAUUUUAUUUUAACGGUCCGUCUUAUUUUAAUAGUUAUUUUCUUAAGUAAGAUUUAGUAGUAUUCUUAAUAGUUUAUCUUUUUUGCUAUAUUAUUUUUACAUAUAAAAAAAGGACGAGGGAAUAAAAUUAAAUUUUUGGACUAAUUUAAUUAUGCUUGUAGCCCAAUUAAACCAAUCUCUUAGCCUAUAAUCCCAAGCCCAAUACCCAAUACCCAUUAAGCUAACCGUAGGGACCCUUCUAGACUAUUCUUUGGAACAAAAAUAAAGGAAUGACCCCUAGACCCCAAAAAAACAUAGACCUAAAAAAAGCUGAAGAGCGGCGCUGAUUUUCAGAAACGAAAACGAUUCCCACCCCAAGAACGACCCCCACUGUCUGCUUCUUCUUCAACCUUCCAACGAUCUCACCCCUAAAAAUGAACACAACACAAACGCACCCCUCCCUUCUCUAACCAUUGCCGUCGCACCAGCCCCCCUCUUGUUCCAUUCCAUUUUGCUUAAUACCUCUCAUUUUCUCAUGGAAAAAGCCAGCAGCACUCACAAAGAAAAACCAGUAGCCAUCUCUUUGUAUAAAAAAUUGAGCACAAGCUUUCUGUCCCUAAAACCCAAAACAUAUUCCUGUGACCCUAUCUCCCUUCACCUCACAGUUGCCGGCCUCCAGCCAGAAAAAAUUUAAAAAAAUGGCAAUACUUCCUUCAACUAUGGUGGCGACUUCUUUCUACCGCUUUUUUUGGAGUUUCUCCUUGAUAUAUUCCACUCAAAAUUCUGGUUAGCUUUCACAAAAGUUUGUUCUAGGUUGGAUGUUCAAUUGAGGCAUUGUUCGAAGCUGAAGGUCGCGGUCAUUGUCCUUUUUUUUAGUCUAACCAAANNNNNNNNNNNNNNNNNNNNNNNNNNNNNNNNNNNNNNNNNNNNNNNNNNNNNNNNNNNNNNNNNNNNNNNNNNNNNNNNNNNNNNNNNNNNNNNNNNNNNNNNNNNNNNNNNNNNNNNNNNNNNNNNNNNNNNNNNNNNNNNNNNNNNNNNNNNNNNNNNNNNNNNNNNNNNNNNNNNNNNNNNNNNNNNNNNNNNNNNNNNNNNNNNNNNNNNNNNNNNNNNNNNNNNNNNNNNNNNNNNNNNNNNNNNNNNNNNNNNNNNNNNNNNNNNNNNNNNNNNNNNNNNNNNNNNNNNNNNNNNNNNNNNNNNNNNNNNNNNNNNNNNNNNNNNNNNNNNNNNNNNNNNNNNNNNNNNNNNNNNNNNNNNNNNNNNNNNNNNNNNNNNNNNNNNNNNNNNNNNNNNNNNNNNNNNNNNNAACUAUGGUGGCGUACUUCUUUCUUACCGCUUUUUUUUGGAGUUUCUCCUUGAUAUAUUCCACUCAAAAUUUCUGGUUAGCUUUACACAAAAGUUUGUUCUAGGGUUGGAUGUUCAAUUGAGGCAUUGUUCGAAGCUGAAGGUCGCGGUCAUUGUCCUUUUUUUUAGCUAACCAAAUUUUGUCGUCGGGUCAUGCACAAUCAGCCUGAUCAUAUAUUUGUAGUCACUGAUUUUACUCAUUUAAAAGAAGCAAUGUCAGGUUCAAUUCUUCCCACUCUUACUUCUAUUUUGACGUCAAUUUUGAAUGUGAUAUGAAAACAUGAUACCUCUCUAUUGUGUCUCAAUUUUUCUUGGUUAAGUUAUGCUGGAAUUGCUAGAAGGAUACUAUCUAGUUUCAUUUUGUAAAACUUGAGCUUCCAUUGAGGUCGUAGGUUCAAUUAGGUUCAUCUUUUCUAGAUCUCGUUAUAUUUGGAUUAAAGCUCGAUUGUCUGGUUCUGAGUCAUAUCUUAAUACUUAAAGCUUAAAUUAAGUCAUUAGUUCAUUCCUUAGUCAUAAUCAAGAAUUCAACAGUGAGGACUCAGUUUAUAAGGUCAUUUUCUUUAGUUAUAUACAAGAAGGUUUGUAAGUAGUUUUGCUAGGAUCCUAUAAAUUUCUUCCAUUUUUCCUUAAACGAUUUAAGUGUUGUGAAUGUGUGUUCUAAUGGGUUGGUCUUCUUGGUUAGGUUAAUAUUUUUAGGGUCAGUUGUUGGUAAGAUAUGGCUAGUAAUCUUAGUAUUUUAGUCACAUGAUCAAAAAGGAUAUUUGAUUAAAAAUGACGAUUUUCCUUGGUAGAGUAGUAGAUCCUCUUUGUGAUAGUUGGCAUUUAUAAAAUUGCUUUGAUAACAUUUGUGAGUUCCCGAGGGUCAGUGUCAUGUGUUAAUACACAAGCUUCUUUAACCGCUUCAUAUUUAGAAUUACCAUUUGCUAGAAUUGUUUGGUUACUUCAUGUUUGGACAGUUAGAAUAUUGUAUAUAUCUCUACGGGCCAUGGGAUUCGAGGUUUAAACAGAAUUAAAAAAUUAGCAUGAACUGAAUUUCAUUCAUUCAUUUUAGUUUAUUUUAUUUCUACUUUUCGUCCAUAACCGCUAGGAGCAUGGUUAGACCGACAAUACGUGGGUAGGUAAACUUUUAGACGCGAUUAAUAAUAAAUCAUCGUAACUAUGGAUACGGUUCCCGUGACAUGGUCACGAUACGUAAUCCCCCAAUUCGGGUGUGCAUUUCAUGUGACCCGACUUCAAUUUCCAACAAGGCUAAAUAGAAUGUGUUGUGAACCACAAGUGCAUUUCAUGUAGCGUGGCUUACGAUGUGUUUUAAAUAACCUUGAAUUUUCUUGAAAUAUUAAAAGCGGUUAUAAAGCAAAAAAUGCACAAUAGGUUUAAAACAUAUAGUAAAUCAAAUAAUUAGGCCAAUAAUAAUAGUUGAGCGACCGUGAUAGAACGAUGAAACUCGGGAAUACCUAACACCUUCUCCCAGGUUAACAGAAUUCCUUACUCGGAUUUUUGUGUUCGCAGACAUAAACAGAGUCAAAUCUUCCUCGAUUCGGAAUUCUAAACCGGUGACUUGGGACACCAUAAAUUAUCCCAAGUGGCGACUCUGAAUUUUAAAUAAGUAAUCCUGUUUCGAUUGUCACUUAAAUUGGAAAAACUCCCAUAUACCCUUCUGGGGGUAGGAAAAAGGAGGUGUGACAGCAAGUAGUGCCGAGGUCGUACGACCCGAUCCAACAUAAAAGUAAAUUGUGCACUGCCGAGGGUCGAACGAAGCGAACCAUAGAUGCAUCUAUUACCCCGCUCGCGAAUUAAAUAUGCGACGCGGUCAAAUGUAAUUAAACACAACAACAAGCAGACAAGAAUAUAUAACUGGGGAGUAAUUACUCACAGAAAUAUCAACUUCUCUUUAAAAAGGCCAAGAAAGAUAAUGUUCCUCUUACUAGUCUCAUUUACCAUAAUCACCAUGAUUUAAACAAUUCAAAUUAAACAUAAAGUUACAAGAACAUCACGUAAAGCAUGCUAUUGGGUCCUAGAAUACCUGGACUUAGCAUAAUAGUAGCUACGCACAGACUCUCGUUACCUAGUGCGUACAUAGCCACCGCACUUAAUAGCAAAUUAUUUUAUUACAUCACCGAUGAGGACAAUUCCCUCUUACAAGGUUAGAUAGGAGACUCACCUCGCUCCAAAGCGUACUUCCAAUACCAAGAACGAGCUCAAACUCUCAAUUUGGAGCCGAACAAUCCAAAACUAGAUAAACGAGGUAGGAACUAGUCAAUACAAGCUACCAAGAUCGCAUUCUAACUAUUUAAGCAAUUUCCCAACCUUAAAUACAAGUUUCCUGAAAUCUGACCCCGAGCCCACGUGCCCGGAUUCCGAAAUUUUUCGAAGAAAUUUGUUCUUUAUAACCUAAGGAUCAAUAAUAUAUGAUUUAUAACACAUUUUAUAACAAAUUUCGUGGUUAAGUCUGACUUUUAUCAAAACCAUAGGUUUUGCUCUAACCCCAUGAUUUUACCUUAAUCUUUGUGUGUUAAUUCACCAAGACUCAAGUAUUAAAAUAGAAAUAAGCAGGGUAAACUUACCUCAAGAUGCUAGGUGAAGGUCCUCUCUCAAGAGCUCCAAAAUCGCCCAACGGGUGAGUGAAAAAUGGCCAAAAUGACUUAGAGCCCUUAAUAAAUGAAGCUCACUACUUCAGUGAUUUCUUCAUCUACGGUCAGGGGACCGCAUCUGCGGAUCCACUUCUGCGAGAGAAAAGACGUAUCUGUGGAAUUGUCCAAGUGGGCUGGGACCACUCCUGCGGUCUUGAAGCCGCUUCUGCGGUUUUGGGCCUGGCCUGCCAUCGCCGCAUCUACGAGAGGACGAUCGCUUCUGCGGUAUCGCACCUGCAGCUGACCAACCGCAGGUGCUGUUAUGACAGCAACCUGAAGCUUCAGCUCUUCUCAAAUUUUCCAACUUCACUCGAGCCUAGUUCGAUUGACGCUCGGGGCUCUCGGGCCCUGCCCGAACAUACCGACAAGUUUGAAAUCAUGAAACGGACCCGCUCGAACCUUCGGAAUGCCCGAAACAGCGCUAAAUCUAGGAAUCACCCCCUAAAACAUAUUGGAUAAAACUUAUGAACUUCAAGUUCUUCAAUUCACUUCUAACAUGCCAAAACGUAUUUAUACUACUCGGAUUGACACCAAAUUUUGAGAGCAAGUCUUAAAUGUUAUAUUAGAACUGUACUGGACUCUGGAACCAACAUACGAGCCCGAUACCAAUGGGAUCAAUCAUUAUUUAGUUUCUUUAAAUCCUUAGAAUUUCAGUUUAACAAUUUCUAAUAAGAAAUUCAUUACUCGGGCUAGGGACCUCGGAAUUCAAUUCCGGGCAUACGCCCAGGUCCCAUAUUUUCCUACGGAGCCUCUGAAACCGUCAAAAUACGAAUCUGAAUCCAUUUGCUAAAAAUAUUGACCAAAGUCAAACUUAGCCUUUUAAGAAAAUAUUAAGGAAUCAAAUGAGCCUAUUCUAACCUAAACUCUUCCAAAUCCUGAAACAACCAUUCCCGUAGGUCGUAAAUUAGUUAAAGCAAGCGCGGGAAGUUUUAUUUAGGGGAACGUGGUUCUAAAAAGUAAAACGACCAAUCAGGUCAUUACUGUACUGUUUCUUUUAAUUGGUGUCAGAGUUUAUCGUAUUAUGGUCGAGUUUGUCGAGUCUCUCGCUAUCGUAUUUCCUGUUUUGUAUUCGAAAAUCAGAAAAAAAGUUAUAAAUGAAAAAAUCCAAAAAUAUUUAUGUUUUUAGUUUAUUUUGUCCAUUACUUUCCAUAAUUACGCUUGGUAUGAUUCAUGUGGAACAUGAUACGUAGGCAACCUAUAUAGCGUUCGAUCGAAUCAUUUUUGAAAUUUGAAAAAAAAAACCAAGUUAUGGGAUGUGAGAAAUGAGAGGGAAGAAAAGAGUGAUAAUCAGAAAGAAAAAGAGAGGAAAGAAAAUGAGCAAACUAAGGAGUGCAAGAAAAAAAUGAAUGAAGAGGAAAAAGGGCAAGAAGAGUGAACCUGGGAUGAUGCCAAUAUAACCUUCAUACCCUCGAGAUCAUUUUAGAACCGAUAAUUGUAACUAGAUGCAUUGCAUAUAGUAUGAUACUAUUUGUUGUUAAAUGCCCUAACAAUAAUAUGAUGACCUCAUUUUGUUCCUCUUUGUUAUCUUCAUUAUAGCAGAAGAGUGGUUGGUUUGUGGUUCUUAAACUGGUAACUCUUCCAUACAACACAAGGUCAAAGAGCAAGGUAUCCUUGGCUAGUAAGGACUUGGACACAGGUGUUGUUGAUCCGUCUAAGGAGAUUGUUGAAUCAGAAUCUGAGUUGAAAGAAGAGGUCCUAAGGUUGAAACGACAGAUGGACAAAAUAUACCAAGCCUGGAUUAGUAAGUGUCCUCCACCGUUAUUCCCCACUAAGUACACCAAAAGCCUCAUCACCAUUCAGCCAUUGUUACAAACCCAAAUUCCCACUGCUGCUAAUAUCUCCCCACAACCUUUUCACACUUCACCCACCAAAACUACCUUAUAUCUCGCUCCUUUAACCACUUAUGUUUUUGUAGCUCCUCCACAAGCUACUCUUACUGAUCCUCUAGCAAGACUGUGUUCAAAGUCCCGAUGCCCAAUACUAUGCUCCAGAACCAACUUUUAAGGUCUCAGAUCCACACUCUUACACUCCUCAUUUUGAGCCUCCCGGUGAAACUGAAAAGCCUGCUAAGACAGUAGAGCAAGAUGAGAUAUCCAGGAAGGUGAAAAUCGUAGAGCAGUAUUUGAGGAACAUGCAAUGGAUAGGAAGCCAAGUAAGUGUGGUUUACAAGGAUUUAUGCUUGUUCCCUCACGUCCAACUUCCUGUCGGAUUCAAGAUGCCCAAGUUUGACAUGUACGAUGGAUAUGGAGAUCUCGUGGCCCAUUUAAGAGUUUUUUUUAGUAAGAUGAGAGGUGCCGUUGGAAGGACAAAUUAUUGAUGGCGUAUUUUAGUCAGAGUCUGAGUGGGGCUGCUCUGUAGUGGUACACUCGCCAAGACGCUAGCAGAUGGUACACAUGGGAUGAUAUAGCUCAGGCCUUGCUCGAUAUUUUUAGUACAAUAUAGACAUUGUUCUGGAUCGCCUAUCUCUGAUCAAGAUAGAAAAAGAAGCCUAGUGAAAGCUUUGGAAGAAGAAGGGUUCAGAUGGAGAGAACAAGUUGCACGGUUCAAUCCUCGGAUGGAAGAAGACGAGAUGGUCGAUUACUUUUUUCAAGCCCUAGAGCCUACUUACUUUGGCCAUUUGGUCACAGCCAUAGGUAAGCCCCUUAUUAUACCCCGCAAUAUUACGUCAAUAUUAUGACCUGCAGUAUUAUAUUACGUCGAUGUUAUGCUUUGCACUAAUAUAUUACGAUGAUGUUACCCUCUGCAAUAAUAUAUUACGAUUGAUGUUACGUCCUGCAGUAUUAAGUUACGACAGUGUUAUACCCUGCAGUAUUUUACGUUGAGUUUAUCGUAAGGUAAUUGACAUCAGUCCAAGGAAAAGAUUAUGUGGGGUUUAUAAGGAUUAUGCUAUUUCACAAGUGAUUAGUAAAUUCAUGAAGGUGAAUAGGGGAGCAAGUCAAAGAAAACGAAUAUUGUCGAAGUUUGGUAUUUUGGGAUAAAAUACGGCCCGAGCUAAAAUACUCGGUAUUUAUGGACUAGUACCAUGCAGGGUACCAUAUGACCACGGUAGUAUAAGGUAUAAAGUAUAUUAAAAAUAAGUAGAAUUUUAAGUAAUUUGGGGCAUUUUUAUUGUGCGGGUAAUUGGUUAAUUACCGGAUAACGGAACAUUGCCCAGUUAACUAAUAAGUGAAUAAAAAUUAACUAAAACACACCACCCUCUCACGUGGCACAAAGCCACCAUGACAAGAAAAUGACUCUUAUCUUAGUCAUUGAGCCAUGUGGCCACUAAUGACCUAACUAAGUAAGACUUGAAUUUAAGUCUUACCAAGUUAAGAUAGGAACGUCCACUAUUUCCAACUUCAAGUGUUUUUACCUUCAAAUUUAAGCUAAUGCUUUAAUAGAAGAAUAUAUACAGAUAACCCAUUAGGAUAUAUCAUUUUUGUCUUCAAAAAAUGUUGGGUUCCUUUUUAUUUAGUCCAAGUAUAAUUCUUGGUUUAAUUUCAAGAACACCUUGUUUUGAGAAAAAACGUGAGGUAACAGAAUCAUAAUCGUUGUUAUCGUAAUUCAUUUUUGGUGUAAGGAACAGUAACGUGAGAAGCAGAAGCUUCAUUCCGUUCAAAUAAUUCCAGGUAUGUUAAGGCUACCCCUUCUUUCUCUUGGCAUGAUCCAUACGAUACGAACGAAACGUGCAAAUGCGAUUCCAUGAAUGACUCUAUUCAUAGAACUAUUAGAGAUAUCUAUGUUCUUGAAUUUUCAUAUGUCAUAAUAUUUUAUCAUCUGUUAAUGGGUCUCGAAAAAAAAUAUGAAAGUUGAAAAGAGUUUACUUUAUGAUAUUACUCAAAGGCAAAAUGGUCUUAUGACAUUCCGAAAGAUUUUCUUUACGUACUUUUCACGCAUUGCAUUCAUGUGUAUUGACCCAUGACCAGAUGACUUUAUAUAUGUGUAUAUAUGUAAAUAUAUGUAUAUAGGAUUGAGAAAAGAUUACGGUGUUAUAUACACACCACCACUUGAUCAGCUGGUAUAUGAUGAUGAUGUUGCCCGCAAUGGCUGAAAUAUGAUUCAAACGGCAUUUUAUAUGCGUAUAUAUAUAUAUAUAUAUAUAUAUAUAUAUAUGUAGGAAAGGUUAUGGCAUUAUAUACGCACCACCACCUAAUCAGCUGGUANNNNNNNNNNNNNNNNNNNNNNNNNNNNNNNNNNNNNNNNNNNNNNNNNNNNNNNNNNNNNNNNNNNNNNNNNNNNCAUGUCUCUUAUGUACUUAUUUAUGUGCCUUACAUACUCGGUACAUUAUUCGUACUGAUGUCCCUUUUGCCUGAGGACGCUGCGUUUCAUGCCCACAGGUCCCGAUAGACAGGUCGAGAGCCCUCCAAGUAGGCUAUCAGCUUAGUGUAAGAUGUUGGUGCGCUCCAUUUGCUUCGGAGUUGCUUGUUUGGUUAGUAUGAUUUAUACGUGUAUUGUUUGGUAUGGCGUGGCUCUGUCCCGACCUUAAUGACAUUUAUGUACUCUUAGAGGCUUGUAGACCUAUGUCAUGUAUGUGAAAGAUUGUACGGCCUUGUCGGCCUAUGUUUGAGUUUAUAAAUAAUUAUGUUGGCCUAUUAGGCCAGUAGGUAUGUUACGUUGGUACUCGGUUGAGUAAAGUACCGGGUGCCCAUCGAGGUCCAUCGGUUUGGGUCGUGACAAAAGUGGUAUCAGAGCAGUUCUGUCCUAGGGAGUCUGCAAGUCAUGUCUAGUAGAGUCUUGUUUAUGGGUAUGUCGUGCACCGCACUUAUAACCAGGAGGCUACAGGGCAUUUAGGAUUAUCAUUCUUUUUUCUUACUCUAGAUCGUGUGGUAGAGCUCACUUAUAAGAAUUUAAAUUCUGAAAUUUUAUUUUAUUCAUAAUAAGACGAUACCUACAUCCUGAAAGAAGGUUUGAAAGAGAGAUAGUUGUGGAAGAGUUGAGUCAGAGGAAUUGGAUUUUUGUAUAAUGCCUACGAUAAGUAAAUGUGAGGUCUUUGGCAGAUCAUGGGUGUACUGAAAGGUGUAAACUUUCCGAUAAGAGACCUUAAGGAAAAAAUGCAUAUCCACAUUUAUGGUGAAAGAAAAUGAGAGAUUAAGAAGAUAAAUACAAGUUUCAACAAGCAAAAGAAUCAAGAUGAAAAAGGGUACGAGGCGCCUAGUUAAUGAAGGUUAACAACAUUUAUAAUUGAGGCAGAGGAACAUAAGCUUUUUGAGUUAUAUUCAACAGUAACAAAGGUAUGUACAAUUCUUCACACCCAUUUCAGUUAUGCCCUAUGGGGGCUAACAGGUAUAGUUAAGAGAAGGAUGGGAUAUCAAGAUCCGGCUGGGGUUAGAGUAACCCAAAUUGGCAAAAUGGAUUACUUUCAUUUGUUGGCAUUUCUGAUGGGUAUUACAAAUGUCCCAAUAGAUCUUCUUGUGAGACACCCAGAUGGUAUACCCUAGAAUAUUACGAUUAGAUGUGAAUACUAGCAUUCAGAAGAUAGGCAGUAAAGGCCUGGAUGAGAUAAAUAUUACCUUAAGUGUGGCUCUCAUCCCUAGUAGAGCGAGGAUGUUGAGCAACCCAAAGAGCCAUUGGAUGGAGCAAAGCGAAACUAAAAGCGAAAGAAUGUUGUAUUGAAGUUUUCAUAAGAAAAAGGAUAUGCAAAGUAAUGAGAAGAGAGAUAAGGAAGCAUUAUGAAUAAGGUGUCAUACAUGGAUGAAAACGGUAGAGUGUUACAGAACGUAUAGUCAAAUGAAGGAAGAGAUGAAAGGUGGUAGGCCUUAAGACAACGAAAGAGUAUAGGCCAUAAGGUUAUAUCCUCAUUUCGAGAAAUAAGUUCUUGACUCCAACGCGACUACUAGAGGUGAGGGUUAAUCCCAGAGUAACAAAAAUCAGUAUGGACUAGUAAACAAGAUAAACUAAAUAUGAAUUAGGAACUGAAUGAUUGGAAAGUACUCGGCAUCAUGGGAAUUUCAGAUUCUGUUCCGGUGGUAAUAGAAUGGACCAUAGAAGAAUAUUUACAAUGAAUUCAGAGAAUAUUCAUUCAGGGAGAUGCUUCCCUAGAGCAAGAAAUAUGAGCAAAGUUAAGCUUAAGAGACUGUAUGUGCCAGUUACGCUAAGUGUCACCCUCGCGAGUAAGGGAAUUUGUCAUCCUUGGUACAUAAGAAUUGCCGCAAGGCGAGUAAGGAUCAUUGAUGUUGAGAAACGACGCCAAAGAUGAAAAGGUAAAACAUCUUUAGGUAGAUCCUCAUGGCUUCAACUUUUAGUACACCCCUAAAGGGGGAAUAUAGAGUAGUGUGGCAUUAAGCCAGAAUUAAGUGGUUCUAGUGACUAUGGAAUGGUAAAGGAAGAAUGCGAUAAAUGAAAGAGGAAUGAGAUGGCACUUAUCCAAUUCUUACAAAUACACUACGAUUCAAGAAUAUUAUGCAAGCACGACGUCAAAGAGAGGAAGCAAGGGUUCCUGCCCGAGCUGUUAUUAAUAAAUAAGGAGCUAGUGCAAGACAUAAGUUAAGAAAAAAUAAAUAACCCAAGAAAGAUUACGCGGAAUAUGGAUAUGAGAAUGGGCCGACAAGUAAUUAGUAGUUGAUUCAAGAAGAUCCUAGUCAUGACUAGACAAGAGGUUACAGACAAAUCAACAGAUCAUGCAAGAUAAAUGUAGUAAACCCUAACAUGGAGAAUUCAGCCUCGCUAUAAUGUCAUUAUAAUAUGUGAGAUAUGUUCAAAUAGGAGUCAGUGUACUUAAAUGUACCUUAUAAAUGUUAUGGAAAUAAAAGAGAGUGCCACUGAGAAGACAGUUAAGUAUCAAUUCAGAAACAACCCUAUAAGAACAAGGGUGAGGAGGUAAGUAACUAUGGAUAAUUGUAGGCGAGGAAGGACAUCAACAAUUUUAUUGGGUAUACGAUGUAAUAAGCUCGCAACUUUACAAGAGUCAAAGGGUUCUCCGUAAGUACUAUAGUGAAAGACUAGCUGAGGAAAUGAGGAAGAGGAUUCAACCUAAGCACAGUGACCUAAAGAGGAAAUGGUCUUGUAACAAUAGUUUCACAACAACAUUGUACGUCCUCCAUAAGAAAGAGGAACCUACCGUGGCUAGUGAACAAGAAGUAAAAUUAAAAGUAAUAUUCGAGAUCAUAUGAGUUGCACAAAAACUCUUGCAUGUGUGGUCACUAAGAUAAGCUAAGUAUGGACGCAACAAGAGGGUAGAAAGUCCAGGAAAAGUAAUAGCUUACACUGAAAAAAGGCUAAAAUGGAACGAAAGAAAUUAUUCGAUCAAUGAUCCAGAGUUCGUUAUGUUAUGAACUCACUUAAGGGUUCAGAGUUUUAUACAUGCAGCAUAUACAACCGUAUAAGAUUCUGGUAUAUGUUAAAAGAAAGAAUUGAGCCUAGGUCAUAGACGAAAGAUUGAAUUAUUAAAGGAUUUUAUCAUGAAUAUCCCUCAGCGCCUAUGAAAGGUUAAAGUAAUAACUAAUACCAGGAGCCGCAGAUCGGAAGAUAGAUUAAGCAUACAUAAAGACUUAUCAGAAAGAAGAGGAAACUAAAAAGUUACAUCGACUAAGUAAAACAGGAGUGGACCAAGAAAAUCAUAGACCUCGGGAUUACUCGUAAAUAGCAGAAGUAUAAGAGAGAUAGUAGAGUAGCCAUAUUUUAUAACGGCUCUACGAUGAAGCCAACUAAAGAGUACCAGCCUCAUAAGAAGUCAGUGUGAAGCUCCCAUCAGAUUGUGUAUGCACCAGAGGUGCAAGUAUUAUAAUAGACCUUCAGAUUGUGGAGAUAAGUUAUACCUAUGUGGAAGGGAGGUUAUGAAAGAGAUAAAAGAAUGUGAGGCAAUAUUUUAAGGUAAGUAAGGAAAAGGUGAAAAACGUACAAGAUACUCAAACACAGAAGGUUAUGAAUAGUCCAUACUGCAAAUAAGGGGCUAGAAGUGUAGGGAUUCAGUAUCCAGGAAUGAUAGCAGCGUCGUCAGUGGCAUACUUUCCAGCCCAUGGUUUCUAGAUACCGAAAGGUCUAAUUAGAGAGUGAAAGAAGAGUUAGAGAUGAUGUGAUGUCUCGAUGUUCCAUAAAAGCAUAAGCAAAUCGGUCGCAAGCUAAAGUAUGAUAGAACGCCAAGGAUUUAGAAAGGCAGGAGUAAGGAUAAGAAAAAGGAAAGUGAGAAAAUGACGAAAAUGGAUAAGUCCUCGGGAUUAAGCCCGUAAAAACAAGGGAGCUGAUGGGUUCUAUAAAUUAUAUAAAGCUCAGUAUAGCUGAAUGAGCUCAAAGGAGUCUAUGACUAGCAACAUUUAGAAGAAACUGAAUGCUGACAUGGUAAUAAAAUGAGGUUGUAAUUGUGACAGAUAAAAGAUGACGUUUGUGCAGUUGAUUGAAUAAUGAAUUGAAGAAAAAAAAGAGGGGGAGGAGGAGAAAAGAUUUCGCGGACGACACGGGAUUAGAAUACCCCCAUAAGGUGAAUCACAUUGAGAUAUUAUGGUACGAUUAUGGAAAUGACUUCAAGUAUUUCUCGAUACAACGUAAGCUCUACUGGUAAGAUAUUACGUAAGAGGUUUCAGUUAUCAGUGGUAGAUUGUGGAUUGAUAUUGAGGUGAAUCAAUAAUGGAUGGAUAUAAGUUACAAAGUAUGACAUGAGAUUAGGCCAUGAUUCUUAAGAUGAAUGGUAAUGAAGGAACAUUAAAGGACUGAGAUUUAUACCUAAAGGAUAGGCAACAAAAGUAACUUGGAGUUUGGUAAGCAUACCUCAAUAACGAUAAAUUGAAGUAAAUAAAUAAAUAAAUUAUUAUGGUAUAGAAUGACCCAUGUAGAUGCAGUAAAGCCAUAUGAAUGGAUGACCAGAUCUGUGAAAUAAGAUAUGGCUAUAUUCACAAGUUCUACAAAGUAUCGAGCAAAGAACAUUAGGAUACCUAUAGAUACCUAGAGAUGCAUCAUAUUAAGCCUUGUAUAUGUUUACCAAGUAAGACCUAGAGAUUGACUAAAACCUAAAAGGAAAAAUGAAUCACAUAAGCGCACUUACAAAGCCAGGGUCAUACAGGCUGCAUGACAGGAGGUAGCAAUAGUUGCAAGAUUAGAAAGAUUUCGACCACAAGUCAUGAUAUGAGCAAACAGACUAACGGAGGGGAAUACCCUAGACUUUGGAUUUAUUUACAAAACAAUUGCCUAAAUGGAAAGAAGAGUAUUAAGGUAUUCACAAGAGCUACUAGUUAUGAAAAUGAUAAGAGCAUCAAGGGGGGGGGGGGGAAUGAUAUUACGCCCCACAAUAUUACGUCAAUAUUACGUUCCGCAGUAUUAUAUUACGUCAAUCUUAUGCUUUACAGUAAUAUAUUACGAUGAUGUUACCCUCUACAGUAAUAUAUUACGAUUGAUGUUACGUCCUGUAGUAUUAAGUUACGACAGUGUUGUACCCUGUAGUAUUUUACGUUGAAUUUAUCGUAAGGUAAUUGACAUCAGUCCAAGGAAAAGAUUAUGUAGGAAUUAUAAGGAUUAUGCUAUUUCACAAGUGAUUAGUAAAUUCCUAAAGGUGAAAGGGGGAGCAAGUCAAAGAAAACAAAUUUUGUCGAAGUUUGGCAUUUUGGGAUAAAAUACUGUCCGAGCUAAAAUACUCGGUAUUUAUGGACUAGUACCAUGCAGGGUAGUAUAAGGUAUAAUGUAUAUUAAAAAUAAGCAAAAUUUUUAGUAAUUUGGGGCAUUUUUAUUAUACGGGUAAUUGGUUAAUUACCGGAUAAUGGAACAUUACCCAGUUAACUAAUAAGUGGAUAAAAAUUAACUAAAAUACACCACCCUCCCAUGUGGCACAAAGCCAUCAUGAUAAAAAAUGACUCUUAUCUUAGUCAUUGUGCCAUGUGGCCACUAAUGACCUAACUAAGUAAGACUUGAAUUUAAGUCUUACCUAGUUAAGAUAGGAACAUGCACUAUUUCCAACUUCAAGUGUUUUUACCUUCAAAUUUAAGCUAAUGCUUUAUUAGAAGAAUAUAUAAAGAUAACCCAUUAGGAUAUAUCAUUUUGACUUCAAAAAAUGUUGGGUUCCUUUUUGUUUAGUCCAAGUAUAAUUCUUGGUUUUAUUUCAAGAACACCUUGUUUUGAGAAAAACGUGAAGGAACAGAAUCAUAAUCGUUUUUGUCCUAAUUCAUUUUUGGGGUAAGGAGCAGUAACGUGAGAAGCAGAAGCUUCAUUCCGUUCAAAUAAUUCCAGGUAUGUUAAGGCUAUCCCUUCUUUCUUUUGGCAUGAUCCAUACGAUACGAACGAAACGUGCAAAUGCCCAAAUUUCAUGAAUGACUCUAUUCAUAGAAGUAUUAGAAAUAUCUAUGUUCUUGAAUUUUCAUGUGUCAUAAUAUUUAUCAUCUGUUCAUGGGUCUCAGAAAAAAAUAUGAAAGCUAAAAAGAGUUUACUUUAUGAUAUUACUCAAAGGCAAAAUGGUCUUAUGAUAUUCCGAAAGAUGUACUCAACGUACUUUUGAUGCAUUAUAUUCAUGUGCAUUGACUCAUGACCAGAUGGCGUUAUAUACGCAUAUAUAUGUAAAUAUAUGUAUAUAUGAUGUGGGAAAAGGUUACGGCGUUAUAUACGCACCACCACCUGAUCAGCUGGUAUAUGAUGAUGACUGUUCCCCACAGUGGCUGAAAUAUGAUUCAAAUAGCCGUUAUACAUGCAUAUAUGGGUAUGUANNNNNNNNNNNNNNNNNNNNNNNNNNNNNNNNNNNNNNNNNNNNNNNNNNNNNNNNNNNNNNNNNNNNNNNNNNNNNNNNNNNNNNNNNNNNNNNNNNNNNNNNNNNNNNNNNNNNNNNNNNNNNNNNNNNNNNNNNNNNNNNNNNNNNNNNNNNNNNNNNNNNNNNNNNNNNNNNNNNNNNNNNNNNNNNNNNNNNNNNNNNNNNNNNNNNNNNNNNNNNNNNNNNNNNNNNNNNNNNNNNNNNNNNNNNNNNNNNNNNNNNNNNNNNNNNNNNNNNNNNNNNNNNNNNNNNNNNNNNNNNNNNNNNNNNNNNNNNNNNNNNNNNNNNNNNNNNNNNNNNNNNNNNNNNNNNNNNNNNNNNNNNNNNNNNNNNNNNNNNNNNNNNNNNNNNNNNNNNNNNNNNNNNNNNNNNNNNNNNNNNNNNNNNNNNNNNNNNNNNNNNNNNNNNNNNNNNNNNNNNNNNNNNNNNNNNNNNNNNNNNNNNNNNNNNNNNNNNNNNNNNNNNNNNNNNNNNNNNNNNNNNNNNNNNNNNNNNNNNNNNNNNNNNNNNNNNNNNNNNNNNNNNNNNNNNNNNNNNNNNNNNNNNNNNNNNNNNNNNNNNNNNNNNNUGUGCCUUACAUACUCGGUACAUUAUUCGUAUUGACGUUCCUUUUGCCUGGGGAUGCUGCAUUUCAUGCCCUCAGGUCCCGAUAGACAGGCUGAGAGCCCUCCAAGUAGGCUAUCAGCUCAGCGAAAGAUGUUGGUGUGCUCCAUUUGCUUCGGAGUUGCUUGUUUGGUCAGUAUGAUUUAGACGUGUAUUGUUUGGUAUGGCAGGACUCUGUCCCGGCCUUAAUGACAUUUAUGUACUCUUAGAGGCUUGUAGACCUAUGUCAUGCACGUGAAAGAUUAUAUAGCCUUGUUGGCCUAUGUUUGAGUUUAUAAAUGAUUAUGUUGGCCUAUUAGGCCCGUAUGUCACGUGCAUGUGAUGAUGUAUUAAGAAAGAUACAUUACGUUGGUACUCGAUUGAGUAAGGUACCGGGUGCCCACUGCGGCCCAUUGGUUUGGAUCAUGACACCCUUCAAUGAUAUGGUAAAGAUGUGAGGAAUGGUAGAAGAUGGGUUGAAUUCAAUCAAGAUCAUGAGUUAUUCUUCCUUAAAUGCCACAACACAAGCAAUUCAGAAUGACACAGGAAGCUUGCUGGGUUCGAAGGAAUAUGAUGAUAUUGCCAUGGUUGUCCCAGGAUCACGACAUCGCCCCACGGGUCUGCCUCACCAAUAUACUCAUCCUCAACCCCAACCCCAACCCCAACCCCAACACCAACCCCAACCCCAACCCCAAACCUAUCCCCGAGCUCCACACAAUCCACCCUAGUAUUAGCCUCCGAACAUCGUCCGGUCAACUAUCCAACCACUGGGUCACUCCUUAUGGAGAGCACCAGUACCGCAUAAUGCUCUUUCACCUUCCCAACAUUUUUGAGCACCCAACAACCCUAGAAAAUAGGGGCAUGGAGGGGAAUAAAGGCACUGAAAUAGUUUCACGCCAAUCGUAAAAUCCUACACAAGCUUGUUUAAAAGGUUAAAAUAUUCUGGCCUGAUUGAGCCGCUCCUUGGCUAUACUCCAGACACAUAUGCAAAAGGUUUUGCUCCUACUGUACGGUGCAUGUACAACUCUAAUGUCCAAGGGCAUAUCACUGAAGAUUGUUGUUCUUUCAAAAGGGAAAUAGAAAGAAUGAUUCAAGAAGGAAUAAUUGUGAUGCAAGAUAGUAAAACCCAAAAUAUCGCGCAAAAUCCUUUACCUGCACAUGAUGGUGCACACUUUGUGGGGAUGAUACGUGGUAGCAUGGAGCAUCAGAAUCCUCUCGGGAACUUGUUGACUGAAGUUAAUGAUAUUGAAACUAGAAAUGGCCCUGGUGAUUCUGAUGAGCAGAUUUGUGGCUAAAUGUCAAGCUUAGUAAUUGAAAAGUCAUUCCCUCCUCACUAAGAAGGAAUCUUGGUAGUUUUUUGAUGUUUUUCUAUUAUUUUGGUUAUUUAUUGUGAUCCAGAUUUUAUUUGUUUUAUUGAGUCAAACCCUUCUAUCCGUUUAUUUUGCCUAGUUCGUUUAGUCGUAGUAACUCUUUUAGUGUUAUCUAGGUUUGUUCCAGGGUUGUAACCCCAGUUUAUUUUUCUUGUUUUGUUGUUCAAACCCUUUCGCCAUCAGUCUAAUGCAAUCUCUUGUUUUCUGUUAUUUCUAGUUAGUUUUGUUUAGUUUUCUUUUACUUUUAUUGUUCUUUUCAUGGUGACUCUAGUGACAUGACACACACACAGAAUUCUCAGCCCAGUCUUAAAAGUUAGUCUAAUCAUAAAAGAAUAAAGCAAGAUUUGAAGAUAACAUGGACAUUUGAGGGAAAUAAGUAAAGAUUUGGACAUUUUGAGAUCAUUUAAAGCCUAAAUUGUAUGAAACUGGGGCAGAUAGUUUGUGAAGUUAAUAGGACGACAAGAAUUUAUUACAAGAGAGUGUGUCCCAGACAGUUGAAGCAAACAACUUUGAGUUCAAGUGCACCUCAAGUUACAAGAUAAAACCAAGAGAGUUUACUCCAAAUUGAUGGAGGACAUCCAUUGUGAAGAGGGAAUCACCCAACAAGAGUUCUAUACUUGACAAGGAACUAAAGAAAGGUGGAUGGCAUAUCUGUGAUAUCAAUGUCGAUGCUGCAAAAGAAAUGUUAUGCAUGAUCUUCAUUUUUUCUUCUCAAGUUGCAUGUGUUAUACAUGGCAUUUUCAGAGAUAGGGAGUCCCUCUUUCAGCUACCCAAACACUUUAUAUCCUUCGGUACUCUUUUGAGCCUAUGUUAAUUUCUUUGACCUCCCCUUUUUCGAAAUCAAGUUAGAGUUGUAAAAAAAAGGAAGAGAAAAAAUCCAUGUACCCAUAGGUUUGUUUUAGAAAGUUCAUUCCAAAAGAAAAAUUAAAAAAAAAGCGAUUACAAAAAAGGGAAAAAGAAAAAAAAAACAACAAAAAGUAUUCUUUUGAACUACGUUUGACCUGAUUCUUGUCACCACAAGAUACACAGGCAGCCUUACGGUUUGGUCGCACCAAAUAAAAUGUUUCAUAAUUCCACGAAGUCAAUAGUUGGGCAGUUUUUCUUAGAAAUUCCAUCUGAAAAAAAAGAAUCAAAUUCUCUUGUUUUAGAAAUUGGGUCAGAAUUUUAAAAUGGAUUCCAAAAGUUCUAAAUAAUUUAACCUUGUUAUAUUAAUUAUUUUGAGCCUUCAUGAUAUCCUUUUUUUCUAACCCCGUCCAAAAAACCACAUUACAAUCCAAAAAAGACCUCCAGAUAAUCUUUGAAAGUGCCAAGCUAAACAUGCCAAGAGAAUAUGAUUUUUGUACUAUGUUGAAUGCCUUGUCAUCUGCAAAAUUAGAGGAAAUAAGAAAAGAACAAAAUGAGAGAAUCUUAUUGGUGAAAACCUCCACAGGUACCAUAAGACGACAAUAAGUUGAGAGAAAGAAAAAAUGAGAGAGGCUUGAUGGUGUAAACCCUUCGGGCAUUACAAGUCAAAUAAGGAUCGUGAAUCAGAUAGGAUAAUCGGAGCAUUGAAGCCUAGUUUCAUGGCUUAGAAGUAUAACAAGAGUUGAACAUUAGACUUGAUUGACAGAUUAGGCCACUUAAUCCAAGAAUGCAUGUCAUGGUCAUUAGAAUUGGUAUCCACAUUUGAUAAGUUUCUACUUUGUAAUUUUCUUGUUAGAUAUCAUCUCUUUCCAUUGUCCCCUUACUCUAUUCCUAAGUCCUCUUUUUGAGUCUGUUUCAUAAGAACAAGUGAGAAAUGACUUCAAAAUUUGCUACCAGCUUUCCAAUCGCACAAAGUGGAGUCUACCUAGCACCUCAAAGCAACAUAAGUCAGGAAGGAGCAGUAUGCACAUUGAAUUGAUAACAAUUGACGUGCUUUGGGAUUCAUGUAAAAUGUAAAGGUUUGGUAAAUGUCAAUCCAUGAGCACAAUGCAACAACUAGAGGGUAUUGGGCUUGAACGAAUCAGAGGUGUUUGAUAAGGGUUGACAGAAAGGUGGUUAGCCAAUAACAAGCAAGGUCUUGCAAGUUGAAAUCAAAGUUAUCAUGGAAAGUGUAGGAGAAAUUGCCCUCAAGAUCAAGACCACAAACCUACCACCAUAUUUUAAACUCACAAGUUUUCUUUAUUUGAAACAGGGACAAAGAUUAUGUCCAAAUCAAAGCUGGAAGCUUGAAACUUUCGGGUGUCAUGCCCAGAUUUUGUCAGCACAAAGGCUAUUUGAGAAGGUUUUUACCUCUUAGACAUUCCCCUAGUUGAGAAGACCAUUACCUCCUAGGCAUUUUCCCUAGUUGAGAAGAUUUGUAUCUCAUAGGAUUUUUCCUUAGUUGAGAAGAACCGUACCACCUAGGCAGUCUCCCUAGUCGGAAGAGUUUUCAGUUUUCCUUUAGUUCAGGGGUCCCGCCUGGAAAAUAGGGUCAAUUUCUAGUUUUCCUACGUUGUUAGUUUUCAGUUUUCCUUUAGUUCAGGGGUCCCGCCUGGAGAAUAGGGUCAUGUCUUAGUCUUCUUAAGUUGUUAAUCUUUAGUUUUUCUUGAGUUUAGGGGCCCCGCCUGGAGAAUAGGGCCAGUUUUAAUUUUCUUAAGUUAAUAGUCUAUAGUUUCCUUAAGUUCAGGGGUCCUACUUGGAGAAUAGGGUCAAUUGUUUUAAUUUUUCUUAAGUUGUUAAUCUUUAGUUUUCCUUUAGUUCAGGGGUCCCGCCUGGAGAAUAGGGUCAGUUUUUGUUUCCUUAAGAAGUUAGUAUUUAGUUUUCCUUAAGUUCAGGGAUCCCGCCUGGAGAAUAGAGUCAAUUUUUAGUUUCCUCUAGCUGUUAGUCCUUAGUUCUCUUAAGUUCAGGGGUCCUGCCUGGAGAAGAAGGUCAGUCUUUAGUUUGCUUAAGAUGUUAGUCUUUGUUUUUCUUAAAUUCAGGAGUCCCGCCUGGAGAAUAGGGUCAAUUUUUAGUUUAGUCAAGCUCAGUUUAUAGUUAUCCUCAAGCUUAAUCUCAAAUCUAGGAGACGCACUUCCUAGUUUGGGGUUUUUAGAUUUUAUUUCUUCAGGAGGCGCACUUCCUAAUUUUAGGUAAAAGGUUUUACCCAUAGGAGACACACUUCCUAGUCUGGGUCUUUCAGGAUAUACUUUUAGAAGACGCACUUCCUAAAUUGAGAUUUCACCCUUAGGAGACACACUUUCUAGUUUGGGUCAUUUAAGUUCAUCCCUAGGAGAGCACUUCCUAGUUAGAGUCAUUGAAGUUUCACCCUUAGGAGACACACUUCCUAGUCUGGGUCUUUCAGGAUAUACUUUUAGGAGAUGCACUUUCUAAAUUGAGAUUAGACGCACUUCCUAGCAUAAGACUUUCAGGUUAUACUUUUUAGAAGACGCACUUCCUAAAUUGAGAUUUCACCCCUAGGAGACGCACUUCCUAGUUUGGGUCAUUUAAGUUCUUUUAGGAGAUGUACUUCUUAGUUUGAGUCAUUGAAGUUUCACCCCUAAGAGAUGCACUUCCUAGUCUGCAUCUUCCAGGAUAUACUUUUAGGAGACACACUUCCUAAAUUGAGAUUUCACUCCUAGGAGACACAUUUCUUAGUUUUGGUCAUUUGGAUUCAUCCCUAGGAGACGCACUUUCUAGUUUGGGUCAUUCAGGUUUUUUAGCAGACGCAUUUGCUAGUCAAAUUUUCUUGAUUUUGCUCACAUGAGAUGCACAUCCUAGUCGGGUCUUUAAUUUUAGUCUCCUCAUUGCAUCCUUCAUCAAUAGCAUAGGCGAUUUAUAGUUGUGCUAACAACUUACAAAUCUUCCUAGUGCAAACUGGGGCAGAAAAGUUUCUUUUGUUUUGUUUGUUUUGCUAUAAUGGGAGGCGCCCACCUGGAGAAUGAGAGAAUUUAUUUCAAGUUCAAGUCAUUAGUAGUCGCCCACCUGGAAAAUGAGGGAAUUUAUUUCAAGUUCAAGUCAUUAGCAGGCGCCCACCUUGAGAAUGAGGAAAUUUAUUUCAAGUUUCAAGUCAUUGGCAGGUGCCCACUUGGAGAACGAUGGAAUACAUUUCAAGUUGUAAGUCAGUUGCAGGCGCCCACCUAGAGAACGAGGGAAUUCAUAUCAAGUUUUAAGUCAGUUGCAAGCACCCACCUGGAGAACGAUAGAAUUCUUUUCAGAGUUAUUUCAAUUUUCAAGUCAUUGGCAGGCGCCCACCUAGAGAAUGAGGGAAUUUAUUUCAAGUUUCCAGUCAACAGCAGGUGCCCGCCUGGAGAAUAAGGGAAGUUAUUUCAAAAUUUAAUUCAGGUUAGAAGUAGCAGAAGCUUUCUUUCCAAAAUACAAGUCGACAGUCCGAGAUGACCAAAAGAAGCAGCCUCAAUCCAAAAUAAAAUAAAAGAAAACAGAAUUGAAUCCAAAAUGCAAAAGCAGAUGAAAGAUGUGAACUGCUCAAGACAUGACUGAAGUCACGAGCACUGCAUGUCUGGUAUUGAUCCGAAGAAGCCGUGGAAGAAUGAAUCAGUACCUGCAGCUAGCAAGAAUCAAGGUUCAAAUCAAAAGUCUGCAUGAAGAACCAUUCAAAACUCAAGAUCAAACUUCAGAAGACUUAUAGAUAGGAAUCUUGUAACUCACAGAUGAUAAGCUUGUUUAGUUCUUUUAGAUUUUGAUGUAAUGACAGGAAUCAUGGAUCGAAACCUCGACAGCACUUCACUCGACUCUCUCAUCCUCUCCACAUACUCUAAAACUUCAUUCACCAUGGCCUAAUUCCUUUAUAAGCCAAGGAUAUGUAGGUAGCUCAAAUACCAAGGCUCGGUCACAAUCUCUUGUCUACCUUUAUUUCGUUUUGAAUAAGCGUCGGGUCAUAAAUCAAUUACGUUGCUUAUUGUUCUUUGUUCCGAAAACUUUUUGCGUUUCCAAGCAAAGAGGGGAAGCUGUAAGCACAUAAUAUUUGGCCCGCGCAACCUUUAAGAGUAGUAUUUUUAAAAAUAUUUAUUUAUUUUCAUUUUAAUACGAUUUCAGUCAACUUUUAAUCUUAAUUUUUAUAACAUAAGUUUAAAAACACAAAAUAGUUUCAUUUUUUAUUGAGGUCAUUAGUAUUUUGUAGUAAAAUCGUUUUAAGUUUAUUAUGAUUUUAUUUUAUCUCUUCUAUUUUGACCUUAAUAUAAUCUUUGAAAAAUAUUAAAAAUAUAUAUAUAAAUAUAAUAUAGGUUUCCUUUCAUAAAUCGGAAUUAAUUUUAUGUUUAAUAGUAUAUUUUAUAUUGUAUUAUUGAAUAGGAGAAUGAAAUUUGAGUCGGUUUGUCUAUCUUUGUCCAAAGGUCCAAAAUUUGAACCCAAAUUUGGAUAGCCCUAAACCCAAGACCCAUAAAUCAUCUAACCCAUCUCCUCUCUAAAUCCUAGCCACUCUUCCCAGUUAAUCCUAGGGCUACCAUUAAUUCCCCACCCAAAAUAAAAGUCCCAAUUUCACAAACUCUAGAGGGAUCGGCUAACUGAAGGAACCCUUAAGCCUAAAAACAACAGAUCCCCUCUCCACGAUGAACCCUAAUUAAUUCUCUCAUACACUAGAGAGAAGCGGCCGAAGACUCUAACCUACACAGAGCAGCCACCUCCCUCGAAAACCCUUUCUCUCUCUCGUUAUUCUAUCGCCGGCGAAUCAGCCACCCAUCGCCACCUCCCUAGACCAUACCGUCUACAAUUCUCACCCUCAUCUCCGUCUCAAAUGCCGGAGAUCCCAUUAAAAAUGGCCACUUUUAGUUUGAUACUUGUAGAUGCCGUUCAAAUAUGACCGGAAAUGUGUAGCUCAAACCCAGCUCCAAAAACGCCCUGAAACUACAUCAAAUCAGUGUGAAAAUCAGCUCAAAAUCGUCAUCCAACUCAUUCGAUUUGAAUCGUUCGAGGCUCUAUUACCGGUUCGAGGUUCAGGUCAUUAGCUCAUUUUUGGUCUAAUGCAUCGAAGAUUUUCUUUCAUUGUAUACAUUCAAGAAUAUGCAGAAAUAAAGGGGUCUUACGGUUUUCAACAAUGGAGAAUGGGUUAUUGUAAAUUCAGUUUUAUAUGCUAUCUAUGUCAUCUUAGCAGACCAAACUGAGGUACUGUUCCUCGUUAUGGUUAGUGAUUAAUUCAUAGCUUCUUGCACUGAUUUUUCUGUGUUAGCCGUUGCUCUCUGUUUUCGUUUGGUUUGCUUUAGCUUUUUUUUUCUCUACAAAUUUUGGACUUUGGCUGCGGUGUCCACUGGUUUGAAAGAUCUUCUUUUGGUAUUUUUCUUGGUUUUGCUAUCGGGUUUCUCUGUCAAUAAACAAAUGAGUUCUACAUUUAACAAAAGUUUGGCUGCAAUAGCAUACAAAAUAAGAGAAUCCUUUUCAGCGAUACUAAAGCCAGGACAUUUUGAAUAAAAUAGAUAUCAUAUGAAGUGGAGUAAAAUGAUAAUAACAAACUGCAAUAUGUCAUAAAGUUUUGUUUAAUGGAGUCACUUUACUCAAAGGAUCAGUUUGCAAGCAGCUCAGCAAGAAACAAAACAUGUUGUUCGCGAAUUUGCAAAACCAGUAAAGGAAGCUAGUAAUACUAUUAUACUAUUGUUGUUGCAUCAUACUGUUAUGAUAUGCGUAUAGCUUUUCUGUCAUUUACUUUAAAUCAUAAAAUGUUAUUAAUUGUGU
rnacentral:lncRNA from 1 species